GCCAUAUUUUGCUUUUGUUUCGUUUUGGUCCAAUGUUGCGUCUUGUUUCAUUUAAUUAUUUAAUAUUCCUUUAUUUUUAAUACCAUUAUUUUAAAUCUAAUGUUAUUUUACAAUUAAAUUUUUAUCUAAUAUUGUUUCAUGUUUUAUAUAUAUUAAUGUUUCAAGUUUUUUUUAAAUUUUUAGGUAUUAUUACUUUAUUUAAAAAUUCUAUAAUAUAUCAUUAUUAAUAG
rnacentral:lncRNA from 1 species